CCCUCGUCCGAGCCGCCGGGCGGCGCGGGCUUCGGGCGCGCGCCCCAGCCCAGGUCGCCGCGGGGGGCGGUGGG
rnacentral:tRNA from 1 species